rnacentral:ncRNA from 1 species
GGUGCCGCGAGGCUCAAUAGGGAAUCGGGUGAGAAUCCCGUACAGUUCCCGCUGCUGUAAACUCUCCAAGCUGGCCAUUAUGCCACUGAAAACCAACCAUUUUCGGGAAGGCGGACAGACAAAGGGAGUGAGUCAGAAGACCUGCCGCCUGUCA